UACCAGCACCCCGAGUGGUCGGGACGAUUAUUGGGCCUAAAGCAUCCGUAGCCGGUCCUACAAGUCUUCCGUCAAAUCCACCUGCUUAACAGAUGGGCUGCGGAAGAUACUAUAGGGCUAGGAGGCGGGAGAGGCAAGCGGUACUCAGUGGGUAGGGGUAAAAUCCUCUGAUCCAUUGAAGACCACCAGUGGCGAAGGCGGCUUGCCAGAACGCGCUCGACGGUGAGGGAUGAAAGCUGGGGGAGCAAACCGG
rnacentral:rRNA from 1 species